GGCCUACAGCAGGUAAGAAGUGACUGUGGCUGCUCUGCUUCUCUGAUCUUUCAGCUUUCACCCUAAUAUCUGAUUCUGGGCUUUUAUUGUUGAGACUAAUUAGGAUCACAUCUCACAAGUCCACAAACUCCUUAGGUUUGACUUCUUAACUGGGCUUUUAGUAACUUCCAUGAGUUCCUUCUCAUAGAGCAGGCCUCAGAUGCGAUCAGAAGAUGGUUGGUUACCAGUAAGAGCUGUACCACUAUUUCAGAGCUUGCCCUGCUUAUUGGUUUUGUGACUCAUAAAGUUCACAAAUUCUUAAGAACAUUGAUGGUUCUUUCUAGCCAACUAACACACACAAGAGUUCCAUUCCAUUUUUCUAUUUUAGUUUGAAGAUAGUUUUCCAAACGACUUUUCCACACACUCUUCAUUUUAGCUGGUUUGUCCUUCUCUCUGCACAGUUCUCCUGAUGCGCUAUGGUAAUCUCCAGGAACCUUAGAAGUAGACUGGAGUUAGAUGGGCAGAUAUGAGAAAGGACUUGAACCCAGAGAUGGAAGAUUGGGGUGAAUUCUUGGUAUUUGAAGAGAAGCAGAUAUGGUCAGCGGAAAAGAGAGCUUAGAGGAGCUGAGCUUCUGAUGUACAGUUCCUGCCUCCAGGUUCCUGCAUUAGCUCCUGCCCAGGCUUUUCUUGAUGACAGACUGAAACAUAUCAGUGUUUUAAGGUGAAUCCACACCUCUCCAACUGUUCCUGAAAUCUAAGCACCAACCUCUAGGAAACCUUCUGAGGUCUUCCUUUUCUCUCUGACUCCAGCCUCACCAGAUCACAAAGAGCUUCUCCCCAAUCUUACAUCCCCCAACUCAUCCCAUUAUCCCAGCCCCCAACACUAGCAGGGAUUCCCUGUGAACACACCAGCUGAGCAGGCCAGGGAAACGGGCACCACACAGCAAGUACACUCUGAAAUCCCGGAGUGAAAACAGAAACCAAGGAACAAAAGACCCACUCAAUAAAGACAGUGUCAGAAAUCAACACCUGGACUUAUAAUCACCCCAAACCCAAAUGCUUAGACUCCAGCAUAAAAACACAGUAACAGUCCAGAAAUCAGCACCUGGACUAUAAUCACCCCAAACCUAAAUGCCCAAACUCCAGCAUAAAAACAGUCACACCCAGGGCAGUAUGUCUCCUCUAGAGCCCAGCUAUCCUAUCACAGCACACCCUGAAUAUUUCAACAUAGCUGAAGCACAAGAAAAAAAGACCUUCAAGUCAACUAUGUGAAGAUGACCAAGGCCCUUAAAAAGAAAAUGAAUGAAUCUCUCGAAGAAAUCUAAGGAAACAUAGACCAGAGCUUUGUUCACCUUUCAUCAGAGAAGUUGCUUCUUAAAGUAGAUGGGGAUUGACACAGACACACAAGUGCACAGUGUGCAAAGUGUGGAAGACUUCAGGAGUCCUCAGCCCUAAACAGGAUGUCUUUAUCAAAGACAUUCCCCAGCAUUCAUCUAUGUGGAAGAGGAGACAGGAAGAUCCUAAGAGCCAGAGGGGGUGGACAACUCCAAGGAAACAACCUUCUAGCCCCACCAGGGCUCAUAAACAGAUGAGUUCACAGACACCAUGACAGUAUGUGCAAAACAUAUACAAGUCUGAAACAGCCAAAAAUCCCAGCAUGGAGGUAGGGAAGUACACCCAAUUGGUAACCUGCUGGAGAAAGGAAAAUCACUCUCACCAAUGGAGUGUUAUUGGGGAUAUCUACUACACUCCAAGGCAGGCCCUGUGCCCAGAACUAGUUAUUCCUAAACAAAAUGGACUUCAAGGGCUUUUGUGUUCCUUUCCCUCUGUUUUGGUAUUUUAUUGAUUAUAUUGGUUUUUGUUUGUUUGUUUCAAGUUCCUUUUUUAUUUCAUUUGAGAUAGAGAAAAUAAAGUUGGGUGGAGAGAGAAG